GAGUAUUCACUGGAAUCAUCGAAGCAUAAGUCCUUGCAAAAUGCUUUGAACACUACUGAAGAUGAAGUGGAAAAAUGUGUUGCGUGCAUAAUAGAAGAAAAGAAGAUUAAAGUACAGAAAGAUGUAGGAUUUGCUUCAAAGCUACAAUCAUCUUUACUCCAAAUAUCAGGCUACAAGAAACUCUGUUUGGCAGUGGAAGA